rnacentral:tRNA from 1 species
AGGUGAGUCCGGAGAGGGAAGAAGGUUUCGGCCCUUCUUAUUGGAACAUGACUUCCUCUCACCUG